GACCUCGGAUCAGGUA
rnacentral:rRNA from 8 species